rnacentral:rRNA from 1 species
GAUGAACGCUGGCGGCGUGCCUAAUACAUGCAAGUCGAGCGAAUGGAUUAAGAGCUUGCUCUUAUGAAGUUAGCGGCGGACGGGUGAGUAACACGUGGGUAACCUGCCCAUAAGACUGGGAUAACUCCGGGAAACCGGGGCUAAUACCGGAUAAUAUUUUGAACUGCAUGGUUCAAAAUUGAAAGGCGGCUUCGGCUGUCACUUAUGGAUGGACCCGCGUCGCAUUAGCUAGUUGGUGAGGUAACGGCUCACCAAGGCAACGAUGCGUAGCCGACCUGGGGGGGUGAUCGGCCACACUGGGACUGAGACACGGCCCAGACUCCUACGGGGGGCAGCAGUAGGGAAUCUUCCGCAAUGGACGAAAGUCUGACGGAGCAACGCCGCGUGAGUGAUGAAGGCUUUCGGGUCGUAAAACUCUGUUGUUAGGGAAGAACAAGUGCUAGUUGAAUAAGCUGGCACCUUGACGGUACCUAACCAGAAAGCCACGGCUAACUACGUGCCAGCAGCCGCCGUAA